rnacentral:rRNA from 1 species
GAUGAACGCUGGCGGCGUGCCUAAUACAUGCAAGUCGAGCGAACGGACGUGAAGCUUGCUUCUCUGAUGUUAGCGGCGGACGGGUGAGUAACACGUGGAUAACCUACCUAUAAGACUGGGAUAACUUCGGGAAACCGUAGCUAAUACCGGAUAAUAUUUUGAACCGCAUGGUUCAAAAGUGAAAGACGGUCUUGCUGUCACUUAUAGAUGGAUCCGCGCUGCAUUAGCUAGUUGGUAAGGUAACGGCUUACCAAGGCAACGAUGCAUAGCCGACCUGAGAGGGUGAUCGGCCACACUGGAACUAAGACACGGUCCAGACUCCUACGGGAGGCAGCAGUAGGGAAUCUUCCGCAAUGGGCGAAAGCCUGACGGAGCAACGCCGCGUGAGUGAUGAAGGUCUUCGGAUCGUAAAACUCUGUUAUUAGGGAAGAACAUAUGUGUAAGUAACUGUGCACAUCUUGACGGUACCUAAUCAGAAAGCCACGGCUAACUACGUG